rnacentral:tRNA from 1 species
AAGGGGAGAAACACAUAGGAAGUGUAAUUGGUUUGAAACCAGUAGGAGGGGGUUCGAGUCCUUCCUCCCUUG